rnacentral:lncRNA from 1 species
GAAAGUAUAGUACAUACAAUUAUGUACAGUACAUAAUACUUCAUAAUGAUAAUAAACAAGUGUUCCUUAUGUGUUUACUAUACUUUUAAUUGUUAUUUUAGAGGGUACUGCUUCUACUUAUAUUUUUAAAACUUAACUGUAAAAGCACCUCAGACAGGUCCUUUCACAGGUAUUCCAGAAGAAGCAUUGUCAUCAUAGGAAAUGACAGCUGCAUGUGUGUUAUUGCCGCUGAAGACCUUCCAGUGGGACAAGAUGUGGAAGAGGAAGACAGUGAUAUUGAUGAUCCUAACCUGUGCAGGCCUAGGCCAAGGUAACAAAGUCACAGGUACUGUUACCACUACUGAAGUGUGAAGCCUACAGUCAUAAUUGAAGAAAAGGCACAAUUUCAGUUAGAGAUGAGUAAACUGAAACACAGAGAAGCCAAGUGACUGUCUUUAUCCAGUGAAGAAGUGGUGUGCAGGAAUUCGGACCGGACAGUGUGACUCCAGGAUCUAUGCUGUUUAUCUCCAUGCCAGUCUGCCCAUUCUCCUGUGCCCUUCUCAUUUGAGAAGUUGCUGCUUGCUGCCCAGCUUACAGUUCAGGUUGCCAGGGUGGGAGCAAUAUUUUUCAUAGCACUUAGUCCAACCCUCUUGUUACAGCUGAUUGGGUGACAGGUAGAUAGAUCCCUGAUCAAUGGUAGUCUAUGGCUAUUCUGCAAUCUGUCACUCAGGUGGGCUCUCACUCUGUGGUAUUUAAAUGAAGCAACUUGGAAAUAAUUUGCUAGCUGUUAAGGAACAGGAAAAAGUGGAUGGGUGGCCUGUAGAUGAGUCAUGUUUAGAGUGACUUAUCAGUAAUAAAGGUAUUAGUGCUUCGCUACUUGAGUGUCUAGAGUACCUUCAAUUCAGAUCCACUCUCCCACUCAUUUAUCUGGGAUUCCCAAGCCUAUUAUGGCUCCAUCUUUUGAAUUUCCCUGGGAGUCCUUUUAUUGUACCACAAGAAGCCCUACAACAAUCUUGCUUUACUUGAGCUAGCUCAAGUGGGUUUCUGUUUGUUAUCCUAAAAGCCAAACUACAAGAACACACAUUCACAUAUUUAAAAGCACUUGUGCAUCUCCCUAAGCUACCCCUUCUCCAAGGGAAGCAUCCCCAGUUCUUUCCAUCAAUCCUCAUGCCACGUGUUCACUCCCUGUCUUGCUUCUUUCCCUCUGGACCGUGCAGUUGUAGCCUUUGGAAACAGACUAAUACGGAGGCUGGAAUUGGAAGCCACUUUUAUGGAACAAUUUUAUGGGUAAAGAGUGAGCCUGCCAGCCUCAAAAUUUCUUCCUUAGCACCUGGCAAGACUCUUCCCUGGAGCCUUAAAAUUGGUUCUGCUUACAAGAGGGCACGCUGUAACUGGAGUUAUGACUAACAGCUGAGCGCAAGCCCCCUCCCAACCGCCCUCCACCCGCAAAUGGGUAAGAGUAGGCCCCCUGAAGAAAAGCAUCAGAAAUUGGAGUGGAGAGUUUUUCCCAAGCCUGUUCUAGCUUGAAGGCAUUUCAAAGGAGAAACCCUGAUGGACUGUGUCUCCCCAACUCUGGGGAAGAAACUGCAAGCUGGCAGGCAACCAGCUUGCAGCAACGGAGAGGAACUCCGGCCCAUUCCCCCUUGUGGUUGUCGUGUUCAGGUCAGUACUAACUUUAGCCCUGCAGUCCUCAAAUGGGGACAGUCCACUAGUGGAUUAAAUCCUCCUUAAAUGAUUAGAAGCUUUUAGCCAGAGAUCAGAGGAAAGGAAAUUAUUUCAUUUAUUCUCUGCUGGUACACGAUGACUUCCGGGGAAGCCAUCCUCCAGUGUUUUGCAGAAUAAUAACACUUUCUAUUCAUAUAUCAUUGAUCUCCCAGGAGCUCAAAGUUCUCCACAAGCAUCUUAUCAGCUAAUUUCACCUGAGGUGCUUGGGAAGGAGGGAGGAGGCAAGGACAACAUUUGCUUUCUUUUUUUUUUUUAACCUUGAAGUGCAGGGGUACAUGUGCAGGUUUGUUACAUAGGUAAACUUGUGUCAUGGGGGUGUGUUGUAGAUUAUUUCAUCACCCAGGUAUUAAGCCUAGUACCCAUUAGUUAUUUUUCCUGAUCCUGUCCUUCCUCCCACCCUCUACCCUCUGAUAGGCCCCAGUGUGUGUUGUUUCCCUCUAUGUUUCCACGUGUUCUCAUCAUUUAGCUCCCACUUACAGGUGAGAACAUGCACCCAAAGGAAUAUAAGUCAUUCUAUUAUAAAGACGCAUGCACACGUAUGUUCAUUGUAGCGCUAUUCACAAUAGCCAAGACACAGAAUCAAUCUCAAUGUCCAUCAACAACAGACUAAAUAAAGAAAAUGUGGUACAUUAAUACUAUGGAAUAUAUGCAGCCAUAAAAAAGAAUGAGAUCAGGUUCUUUGCAGGGACUUGGAUGGAGCUGGAGGCCAUUAUCCUUAGCAAACUAACAUGGGAACAGAAAACCAAAUACUGCAUGUUCUCACUUCUAAGUGUUUGCUUUAUUUUCUUCCUUGCGGUCAUUCUUUUAGCUGAGACCUCUGCCCCUCAGAAAGAGAGGUGGGGGUAAGCAAUGCUGAGGACUUUUUCAUUAUAUAAAUUGCCUUACAGUGUUGUCCCUCUACCGGCUUCUGCUGGGUGUCCAACUACCCACCACUAGGUCAUUAUCCUCUUUUUGUAAUUUACUUGCCUCGUUUCAAUGUGGGGUAAAUACCCUCUUGUUGAGUUGGAGAAACUGGGGGCUCAGAGAAGCUGUGCAGGAUGACUGAGUUCUCAUGCCAGGCUAUGGGUGAGUCUAAAGCCAGUGUUAUCACAUGUUCAGCUACUGACAUGUCCCUCUAAAUUCUUCCUGCCUGCAGUGCGCAGGGAGUGGUUACAGAGCUGAGGUUGGCCAUAACUCUCUGAAUCUGAAAAGAUGCGUUCUGAAGCACGUUUGAGGAUAAAAGAGGGACGCACAUUGAGCCUGAAGGCCUGACCUCAAGUUGGCUGGCCGUCACUCUGAAGCGGCUCUUUUCAGACCUACAUCCUGUGCAGUGCUCUGCAGAUCAGGCUGCCUCUCUGGGACUUGAAUGUUUCAAAAAGGAUCUAAAGGGCCUUUCAAAUGGUGCCGGGACAUAAAUAGCUUUCACAGAAGAAUGUUGCCUCAGUGAUGCGAUGACUGAAUCAGCACCACAUUGAAUUAGCAGCAAUCUGGUGCUCUGGGUAAUGGAGUGAUGGUAAAUGAACAUUAUUACGUUUUUACCCCGUGAAUGAGUCCUUAAUAAAAAAGACAAAUGGCUUCCAGGUGUCUUGCCACAAAAUUUCAACAACUGAGUCACUCAAGCUGGAGGGAAGAACAAAAGGCAGUAUAGAAUCUCCUCGUGAUUCAGUGGCCGCCAACUUGGAUUGUCCCCAGUUCCAACUUUAGCAUCUUUCUUUAGUCAUUCUACUGCACAGUCAGUUCCCCUUGUGUAGAUGGACAACAGGAGGAAUUUCUAAUGAAAAGACAAAGCUGCCACUGUCCCAUCUGACCAAGCAUCCCCAGAGAGAACAGGCUUCCCAUACCAGGAAAUGCUGUUCCUGACAGGAACCACCUGUGUCUCGUCUGUGGCCGGGUCUUGAAUUACUGGCCAUUCUGGAGCAGGACCGGUUGAUGUGCCGACUCCUGUGGCUGCUAGGAUGUAAGGUAACCCCUCAGGAAUGUUCUGUCAGCUGGCUCAGCCCAGCCUCUGCUGUCAUGUCAGGAGGUGGGAUGGCUUGGAAGUCUUGUCUCUGUCAUAAACUAACACUGUGACAUGAGGUGGCUUGGGAUCUCUCUGGCUCUUAUGUUUCUCAGCUGUGGGGUUCAUGGCCAAGAAAGGAGUUGGGAAAGUAUCAGGUGACAAACACAAAUGCCUCUGGGGGUCAGAUAGGUGACAGAAGUGAAUGGAUUGUCUGGGUGUAAGACAAUAGGAACCGCGGCGCCUGUGAGGAACUGGAGAAUAAAUGCCUUGCCUGAAGAUGUUCAAAUUCAAAUAAAACAAAAACAACCAGAACCCAAUAUUGUAGGCCAAAUAAAAUGCCAAGGGGUUAAGUUGAUCUGAUGAUUAGAGUUUCCAACGUAUUCUGGAAGGUUGCUUCUAGUUUUAAUGAUCCAGCCUUUAUCUGCAAGUAUGUAUUCUUGUAUAUCAGAAUUCCUAAUUCAAUUAUGUAUAUGGUAUAUCUUUUUGAAUGUGAGAAAGUAUAUUAUGUACCUAAUGCUUGGAAUAAAAUUCAGACCAAUCUAGGCUUUUAUAGGCUAAAUCAUAGCAAAAAUCAUUGAUCUUAAGUUGUUGGUUAGAAAAAAAUAUUAAAUGUAUGUGGUAGGAUGUGACUCAGAGGUCAUUUAAGCUCCUCUGAGCCACAGCUCUGGGAAGACAGGGAAAAUGAACCCCUUUUUAAUCACACACUCCUCCUGUUCAGAGCCCAAUUAUUUUUCAUCUGAUUUGUACGUAGGCACGCGUGCAGGGACUGUGUCUGUCUUAUUAAACACUGUACAUGACCCUGGUACCUGACACCUAAUAGGGUUCUCAACACAUAUAUGAUAAAUAAAUGAAUGAG